rnacentral:rRNA from 1 species
UACAGAGGGUGCAAGCGUUAAUCGGAAUUACUGGGCGUAAAGCGUGCGUAGACGGUAGCGUAAGUCAGAUGUGAAGGCCCCGGGCUCAACCUGGGAACUGCAUUUGAGACUGCUCUGCUCGGGUGCGGAAGAGGGAAGCGGAAUUUCCGGUGUAGCGGUGAAAUGCGUAGAUAUCGGAAGGAACACCAGUGGCGAAAGCGGCUUCCUGGUCCGACACCGACGUUCAGGCACGAAAGCUAGGGGAGCAAACAGG